rnacentral:rRNA from 1 species
GAGACAGCAGCCGCCGCGGUAAUACGGAGGGUGCAAGCGUUAAUCGGAAUUACUGGGCGUAAAGCGCACGCAGGCGGUCUGACAAGUCAGAUGUGAAAUCCCCGGGCUUAACCUGGGAACUGCAUUUGAAACUGUCAGGCUGGAGUCUUGUAGAGGGGGGUGGAAUUCCAGGUGUAGCGGUGAAAUGCGUAGAGAUCUGGAGGAAUACCGGUGGCGAAGGCGGCCCCCUGGACAAAGACUGACGCUCAGGUGCGAAAGCGUGGGGAGCAAACAGGAUUAGAUACCCGUGUAGUCCCUGUCUCUUAUAU